rnacentral:lncRNA from 1 species
GCUUGGACGAAUAUCAAUGGAUGGCCUGGAUGAAUAUCGAUGGGCUCUGGGGGUCCUCGUUGGUUUGCCCCCACUCUAAUCUUCGGCCCAGAUGAAUAUCGAUGGGUGGUUUGGAUGAAUAUCAACAGGCUUCGGGGGUCCUCAUUGGUUAGCCCCCACUCUUUAGUCAUCGAGAUCUUCUUCCAGUCCUUAAGUCAGGUUAAGCUUCAAAGUAAAG